CACUACGGUGGCCUAGUGGUUAGAGCGUCCGCAUCGGGUGCAGGAGGUCGUGGGUUCCAUCCCCGACCGAGUCA